rnacentral:lncRNA from 7 species
CCCCGCUCUUGACUUUAAUUUUUUAGUGCUCGAGUGACUGGUGGUUUGGGAGGUGAGACUGAAUCACUCACUCUUCCGCCUUAUGUGUUGUUCCUUUCAUUUCAUCAUGCUACUGUCGUUGUGGUGUUUAGUCAGCCAGCCAGAGAGUGAGUGCUACACUAGUACUAGUGAUUGAUCAACAGCUGGUAAUCUGAUACGCCUGGCUGCCGUGCAUGCUUAGCAGGCCUGUAACCGAAAGAAUCUACUA